rnacentral:rRNA from 1 species
AGUGAACGCUGGCGGCGUGCUUAACACAUGCAAGUCGAACGAGAACGGAUCAUAGCUUGCUAUAAUUGUCAGCUAAGUGGCGCACGGGUGAGUAAUGUAUAGGUAAUAUGCCUCUUACUAAGGGAUAACAAAUGGAAACGUUUGCUAAUACCUUAUACUCCUUAUUAACAGAAGUUAAUAAGGGAAAGAUUUAUUGGUAAGAGAUUAGCCUGUAUUGUAUCAGUUAGUUGGUGGGGUAAUGGCUUACCAAGACUAUGACACAUAACUGGUUUGAGAGGAUGAUCAGUCACACUGGAGCUAAGACACGGUCCAGACUCCUACGGGGGGCAGCAGUGGGGAAUAUUGCACAAUGGACGGAAGUCUGAUGCAGCAACGCCGCGUGGAGGAUGACACAUUUCGGUGCGUAAACUCCUUUUAUAUGAGAAGAUAAUGACGGUAUUAUAUGAAUAAGCACCGGCUAACUCCGUGCCAGCAGCCGCCGCAG